AUGCCCGAAGGGUGACAAUGCGACGCCGCGUGAGCGAUGAAGUCCUUCGGGAUGUAAAGUUCUGUCAGCCUGGAUGAAUAUUUGCUUUUUAACAAAAAGCGGAGACGACGGUACAGGCAGAGGAAGCCACGGCUAACUCCGUGCCAGCAGCCGCGGUAAUACAGAGGUGGCAAGCGUUGUUCGGUAUUAUUGGGCGUAAAGAGCACGUAGGUGGUUUUGUAAGUCAGAUGUGAAAGCCUUCUGUUCAAAGGAAGAACGGCAUCUGAAACUGCGAAUCUUGAGUAUAGGAGGGGAGAAUGGAACUUCUGGUGGAGCGGUGAAAUGCGUAGAUAUCAGAAGGAACGCCGGCGGCGAAAGCGAUUCUCUGGCCUAUUACUGACACUCAGUGUGCGAAAGCUAGGGGAGCAAACGGGAUUAGAUACCCCGGUAGUCCUAGCCGUAAACGAUGGGCACUAAGUAGAGGGG
rnacentral:rRNA from 1 species